GGCUCAGUAGCUUAGUUGGUAAAGCGCUCGUCUUGUAUACGAACGUCGUGAAUUCGAAUCUCACUUGAACAC
rnacentral:tRNA from 1 species